GUGGCGCACGGGUGAGUAAUGCAUGGGAAUUUGCCAAGUGGAGAGGGAUACCUACGGGAAGCUGUAGUUAAUACUUCGUAAGCAGAGUUCGCAAGAAUUCUGGAAACGUGGGGAUCGCAAGACCUACGGCCAUUUGAUAAGCUCAUGUCCCAUUAGCUAGUUGGCGGGGUAACAGCCCACCAAGGCGAUGAUGGGUAGCUGGUCUGAGAGGACGAUCAGCCACACUGGAACUGAGACACGGUCCAGACUCC
rnacentral:rRNA from 1 species